UACGUAGGGACCAAGCGUUGUUCGGAAUUACUGGGCGUAAAGGGCUCGUAGGCGGCCAUCUAAGUCGGACGUGAAAUCCCUCGGCUUAACCGGGGAACUGCGUCCGAUACUGGAUGGCUUGAGAUUGGGAGAGGGAUGCGGAAUUCCAGGUGUAGCGGUGAAAUGCGUAGAUAUCUGGAGGAACACCGGUGGCGAAGGCGACAUCCUGGACCAACACUGACGCUGAGGAGCGAAAGCCAGGGGAGCAAACGGG
rnacentral:rRNA from 1 species